GGCAUUAGGAAGGGUGUUUGAAACAUGUGUCCGGACUUUGGAAAAUCGCACCCAAGUCAUUAUUCACCGUUGCUGCCACCUUGCAAAAUCGGCCUCACCCGACCAAGCGAUUUCUGGCACCUUUCUGCCUCCAGGGCCCAUUUCUGAGGUUAAAAGGCUCCUCUGUUCUAUUUCUCCUAAAUUGGAAAUUGGAUCCAGAGUCUUGAUCAUCUUCAAGCUUGAUCCCUUUGGCAACACAGUGUCUCAACUCUCACAAGUGAGAUCAGAUUUUCCAUGUUUGGACCAGAUUUCUCAAGUUUCUUACUGGCAGGGAGUAAAGCUCUAAUUAGUUCACGUGUGCCAGCUAAUUAGUGCAAAUAGAAGUCACUCGUUGGCCACACAAAGCUGAUCUCAGAUCCCUAUGAUUUCAGAGAAACACAAGAAAGAUUUCCAGAAGAACAGCAAUUUUCCCGAUCUACAAGGGAUAUUUUUCCUUUUCCUGGCUUCACAUUUUGGUGGCCAUUGAAAGAAGAGAGAAGGUGUGGCUGCAAGUGAAGGACUCUAAGAUCGCUGAAUAAUAAAACGGAAACAACCUGAGCAGCUGAAUUGCCACUUGGGGGCUGCCCUGGACUCCUUAAGAAAGGAGUGCUGAAAGGAAAUGAGGAAGAGGUGCGUGGGAGUGCAGAGAAAGGAGCAGAAGAAAAGGAAGGAGCAAGAGUCAUCAAGAGAACAACACAGAUAAAAUUUAAUCAGGAG